CCUUCGAUAGCUCAGCUGGUAGAGCGGAGGACUGUAGACUGGACAGAGAGCCGUGGACGACCUUAGGUCGCUGGUUCGACUCCGGCUCGAAGGA
rfam:Ictidomys tridecemlineatus contig126446, whole genome shotgun sequence.